CGAGAUCCUCAGAUUUGGUUCAAAAUUCGUGUAGUAAACACAUAGAGUUGUGUUAAAAACUUACAUUAUUUUUUGUUAGGUGUUUUUCUCCGAAAGCCGCUCAGCACACGGGUCGUUUAACCAAAUUUCAGCAAAUAACUUUGUUCCGAUUUUGCCCAAAGAAGCUCACUAAUUCAACUAAUUUUUAAAAAAUAUGUGCUGCGGUCCGGCCGGCUGGUGUUCAUUCUGUGGCCCACCUUGUGGCGGACCAUGUUGUCAAGCCUGUUGUGUUGAGAUGUGUUUUUCGCCGUGCACUCCGGCGUAUUUGCAAUGUUCAUUUUGCUGUGGCUGUUAAACGACGGCAGACCUGACGGCCCGUGGCGCAGGCUUCUGGCGUCCGAGGAGCCAGUGGAUCAGACUACUCCGGUCUGGAACGGCCAGCAAGAUUAAUAUUGGCUUACAAAUGCGUCAACAAAAUUGAUGUAAAACCAAAAAAAAAUAAACGGA